CAGGGAAUAGUUUAAUUAAAAAUAUUAGUUUUGGGAAUUAAUGAAAGAGUAUAUCUUUCCCUGA
rnacentral:tRNA from 1 species